GGAGAGGUGGCCGAGUGGUUGAAGGCGCACGCCUGGAAAGUGUGUGUUCGCAGAAAUGUGAACCGAGGGUUCGAAUCCCUCCCUCUCCG
rnacentral:tRNA from 1 species